AUUUAAAUCUGACCUAGAUUUAUUUUAGUACCUAAAUAUCAAUUGCGUACAUAUAAGUUACAUAUCAUCUGGACAGUGAAAAGUAUAUCAGCAAUGGAAUCUAGAAUAAUAUGAGAAAAAUAUGAAGAUUAUUGUGCUUUUGGCCUUGGUCCUUCCUUCUUUGUUAACGCAAAAAACAGACGGGCCGUUACAAUGUGUGAUCAUCCAAGACAAACAAGGUUUAACAGUACCGUUUAGUGAGUGGAAUUUAGCUGCUAAUUAGAGCCUGAAGAUUAUUGUGAUUUAUUUUAUUAACUGUUAAUCUGUACUAACUAUUUCACUGUCCGAUUUGUUUUAUUUUUAAUGAGAUCCGCCAUCUUUUUUGACAUCAAACAUCAAAACACAAUGUCAAGUUCGUGGAACAGGACAAGGGAUGCUAAGAUGUGGAACGUCAAAUGUGUACAUAAAACCUGAGUGUGUCUGUUCUUUUUACAACGUGUAUGAGGCCAAGUACCACAAUUUCUCAUCUUGUCCGCACGGAGAGAAAUCUGAUGAUGUCACAAAAUUAAAAUGUAGGCAAGCAAAAAAAAAUUACAAAAAACUUAAAAAUUAUUAAAUGUAAGUGGUUGAUUGAGUUAUAAGUCCCAUACUUACCACUGAAAGUGUGUUUUGAAUUGAAUCGUUUCCAAUUCUCUCUUGGAUAGAAACAAAAACGUUGGAACAACGUUAAAGGCAGUUUUUUUUUAAUCAAAUCAGAGUUAUUUGGUUCAAUGCAUGUGUCGGAAAUUAACUGGGAAAAAAACUUUGUUUAAGGUAUAAACAAGUGUCAAAAACAAGAAACGAUUUUAUAGUAUUCAGACUCGUUAUCUGUAUCUUGUUAACUAGGUCCUGAUUGCUUUAAGUAUAGCAUGAAUAGGAAUGGACCUUGUAUCAAUGGAGGUAUUCCAACAUGUAAAGGUAACGAAGUGGCUCCUAAUAUUAAUUGUCGGUGUCCACCGAACUACAAGGGAAUGUUCUGUGAGGAAAAAUUAGAAAAUGUUAGUAUUCUCUCUCUCUGUCUCUCUCUCUCUCUGUCUCUCUCUCUCUCACACACACACACACACACACAUAAAAUAUAAGGGGGAAAUCAUUACGUUCAUUUAGAAUAAUAUGUUUUGCUUAAUAAUGUUAAUGUUCUAUAUUCAUGAAAAUCAGGUAACGAGAAUAUGUGAUAGAACUUCAGUCUCAUCAAUGAAUGGCCUGACAAACUGUGACUCGACAAGAAUGGAAUGUGUUACAUUCAGUAGAAAUCGUCGGUAUGCUUACAAAUGUAAGGCGACCGUUACCUCACAGGAGAGACGAGGAUUACCGUUGUGCGUUAACACAGAAGAUACCACACAAUUAUCUGUUAGAGCCCCAGUUUACCUGACAACGAUGAUUCCCACCGAGCCAGAUCAUAGUUUAACUUCAUCUGCAGGAUUACAUAAGGCCAUAUAUACUAUAACAUAUAUUUCACUGACAUUACAAUUUUUAAAUCUUAAAGUGUUGUUAUAAACAAUAGAUAUAUUGUGUCUCCAAAAUAUAGAACAUCCAUGAUUAAUUCAACAAAAGGAACUCUGCUUACAAACUUUCUUGGAUCAGCGCAAGAGAAUCUUUUUUUUAAGAUUGUAGAUUUUAAUACGUUUAGUAUUACAAGAACGCAACAUUUUGAUUGAUUCAAUUUGUAUUCAUAGAACCCCUAGAUCAGGUUGUUUUCCCAAAACCUUAUAGCAAGUUUUAGCUUAAACAUGAUGUAAUUUAGAUAGAAAUGUAUAUGAUUAAAAAAUUCUCCAUGCCGUAGAGAAUAAAAUUGAAAAACACUGUUAUGAAAUCAAUUUGAUAUGUUUUUUAAAACUUUUCAAAACAAUGACCAAACAAAAAUCGCAAGAAGUAACACAAUUAUACACUGUCAAACGCUAAUUUGUUUUUGAAAAAGCAUUCUUGUAGGAAAUAUAAAGAACAUAACGAACACAUUUUGAGAUGAAAUGUUUUGAGAUGCAAUGUUCGUAAUUUUCAAAAUAUAUCGUACUUGCAUAUAUUUUUGAAAAGCAAGCUCUCUCUGCAUUAAAUCGAUGCACAUUUUUACAUGUAUGUAUUGUAAGAUUGCGUUCAAUCUGUAAAAGUAAACUGAAAGACUUCAUGAGUAACAUAUUGUGUUUAUUUUUGUUUCAAAUUUUUCAUUUUUAAAGAAUGUGUUAUUAAAUAUAUCUGAAUUAUAAUUCAAUAUUACAAUAGUACAUAUGUAUAAAAUCGGUUAUAUACUAUUGUGAUUUAAAGAGAUGCGUACAAGAAAUUAUAUGCCGUAACCUUUAAUUUCCAAGUAUAUAUUUUGUAUAAGUGUUUGUACGAGACAUUUAUCUUUAGAAAUAUCAAAGUGUUUUACUUUAAUGUUUAAGCGUGUGUGUAUGUUUUAUUUGCAUUAAAUUCCUCUGCAUGUUAUGAAGCAUUUUAUUGCUUAUGUUAUUGUUUUGGGUCUUUAUACAGAACUGAUCCGCAGUGACACUGAAAAAAUGGCUUUGUGAAUGAUUAAGUAUAUACAUGUAUAUACGUUAAUUCCCUGUAAUCUCAAAUCGGCACAAAACUUCUAGAUUAAAUUGGUGUAUAAAUAAUAAAAUCAUUAUUUUAAAAAAUCGGUUUACGUGCAAAACUUAUUUUUAAAAGAUUGACAAUAAUGGAUACGAUUGAAUAAAAUGUUUUGAUU
rnacentral:misc_RNA from 1 species